AUUCAAGAAGGACGAGAUGUUUCCCUCUCUUCAAGAAAUAUGGUUUGUCAAUAUGCGAGAGGCGUUUAUUCCACCAGUAGGUCAGUAGCCCAACACACAGCAAAAAACUUGUGUAUCGCCCGAUUCCGCUUGGCUAAAAUGUACGACAGCAUCGGUGGCAGCAGUGGACGGUGAAAUUUUGGGGUGAGUGAUGUUUUUUUUUAUUAUUCAUUUUCCCACCGUAUCCGAUCAGAUCA